AAGUCGAGCGAGAAGACGUAGCAAUACGUUUGUAAAGCGGCGAACGGGUGAGGAAUACAUGGGUAACCUACCCUCGAGUGGGGAAUAACUAGCCGAAAGGCUAGCCAAUACCGCAUACGAUUCCCGGACUGCGGUUCGGGAAGGAAAGCGAUACCGUGGGUAUCGCGCUCUUGGAUGGGCUCAUGUCCUAUCAGCUUGUUGGUGAGGUAAUGGCUCACCAAGGCUUCGACGGGUAGCUGGUCUGAGAGGACGAUCAGCCACACUGGCACUGCGACACGGGCCAGACUCCUACGGGAGGCAGCAGUAAGGAAUAUUGCGUAAUGGACGAAAGUCUGACGCAGCGACGCCGCGUGGGGGAUGAAGGUCUUCGGAUUGUAAACCCCUUUCGGCAGGGAAGAUGGAACGGGUAACCGUUCGGACGGUACCUGCAGAAGCAGCCACGGCUAACUUCGUGCCAGCAGCCGCGGUAAUACGAAGGUGGCAAGCGUUGUUCGGAUUCACUGGGCGUACAGGGAGCGUAGGCGGUUGGGUAAGCCCUCCGUGAAAUCUCCGGGCCUAACCCGGAAAGUGCAGAGGGGACUGCUCGGCUAGAGGAUGGGAGAGGAGCGCGGAAUUCCCGGUGUAGCGGUGAAAUGCGUAGAG
rnacentral:rRNA from 1 species